rnacentral:lncRNA from 1 species
UUUCGAGAAUAUUGCAACCACAUUGAGACUUGUGAUCUUGUUGAGUGGCUCUACUCUCAUCUGGGAAGAGAAAUGUGUAACCUGAGCAGAGAAUGAUUGAGUCAUCUCUGUCAGCAAAGCAAGUGUGGCCAUAUAGAAGAGGAUUUUGUGAUUUCUGCUUCAAUUUUAAUUUCUUAUCCUGAAGAAUUUCAACGUGUAUUUUUUGCAUGGCCAUGUCUAUGUUUAUGUAACUGACAUUAUUAAAUAUGUGGGAUAUGAUGAGAUAUUGCUGUCCCCACUCUUAGAUGCUUCCCAGGCCUGGCUGAACCCAGCAGUUUAAGUAAACCUUAAUUGAUGAUGUUGUCCAUGCCUCUUUUGACUGGAGAUAGAACCCAGUUCUAGUAAAAAUACUUCCAACUUAAUGAAAAAACAAAAAGCUCUC